AUCCCAGCCUUGCUUGCUCGCUUGCUGCCACGUCUCACCCUUGGCUUGCUUGCAUCUUGCCAAGGGCACGCUCCCGCUGCAAGCGGGCAACGGCCGUGUGGUUUUUCGCUAUAUUUUUAUUUUUUGCAGCCUGCAAUUGCUGCCUUCUCCGACCCCACCCAGGCGACGGAGCGACCCUUCUCCUCCCAGCUAAGCCCAUGUUAUCUAACCCAGCAACGCGGCCAGGGAAGCAUUUGCAAAGCGGGGAGGUGCAAAGGGGACCCUGCAAUGCAAUGGAAAGCAAAGCAGCUAGCCUGGAGAAGACAGGUGCGUUUCCUUAUUUAAAAAGGGAGGGAAAAAAUAAAAUCCUUUUGGAAAGAGUUGGUGGGGAGAGUCGGGACUUUUUAUUUUAUUUUUAUUUUAUUGCUUUGCAAAUGAUGCUGAUGAUAAUGAUGCAAGCUUUAGGACCGCACAGGACGCCGGAGAUGCAAGCUGGAAUUUCUAGUCAGCUGCGAGGAAAGCGUUUGCAAGCCGGGGAGGUGGAAAGCGAACCCUGUAAUGAAAUUCAAAGCAAAGCAGCCAGCCUGGAGAAGACAGGUGCGUGUCCUUAUUUAAAAAGGGAGGGGGAAAAUAAAAUCUUUUUGGAAAGAGUUG